CAGCAGUCAAGAAUAUUAGUCAAUGCUCGUAAGAGUGAACUAGCUAACUGAAAUCCUUAAUGUGUCAUUGAGGAUAAGGUAAGGGAAAAUAAUGAUAUUACCUUACUAUUAGUGUCGUCCAAAACUCGUGCCAGAAGACUCGGUAAGGCGAGAGACGCAAACGUUAAUCAUCUUGAUCUGGCGUAAAGGGUAUGUAGGCUGUUUAAAUUAAAGAAAUCUCUUUAAUGAAUACUAGAAUCUAAAGGAGGUUAAAACAAUAUUUCUUAUUGUAAGUGUUCGAACUUUAGAAAAGAAGUAGAGUGUUAAAGGCGAAGGCUUUUUUCCAAUAAAGAUUGACGCUGAGAAACGAAAGAGAGGGCAGAAAAAAGGAUUAGAGACCCUUGUAUUCCUCUCUGUCAACGAUGAAUGGUAGUCAUGAGAUAGAAAUAAUCUUGAGGCGAUGUUAACACGUAAAACCAUUCCGCCUUGUGAGUAUGACUGCAAAGUUGAAAACAAAAAAAUUAGUCGGUUUCGGAGCAAACGAAGUGAAGCAUGUUAUUUAAUUCGAUAAUCCGC
rnacentral:rRNA from 1 species